CCCCUAGACGUUCUGGGCUGCACGCGCGCUACAAUAAUACGCACAGCGAGUAUCACCGAGCUCGAAAGGGCAAGGUAAACAAUAGAAAAGGUACUGUAAUGGUUAUAGAUCCUUGUAAUUAUUGAUCUUCAACGAGGAAUUCCUAGUAAGUAUGUGUCAUCAUCACGCACUGAUUACGUCCCUGUCCUUUGUACACACCGCCCGUCGCUCCUACCGAUUGGGUGAGCCGAUGAAACUCUCGGAUGUAGGCUAUUCAUAGCCCGCAGAAGAGAUUUGAAUCGUAGCGCUUAGAGGAAGGAGAAGUCGUAACA
rnacentral:rRNA from 1 species